UUUCUCGCUGGGCAGGUUCUCCCUGCCUGGGUUUCCAUCCACCCCAUCACUGGGGCUAUGGAACCAGUAGCAUCUCUGCAACUCCCUGGGAUAGAGCCCCCAGUGGGAGGGGUGGGUUGCCAUCUUUGCUGUCUCACCUCCCUCACCCUUGCUGUCUCCAGGUUCUGGAGUCUGUGAGGACUAGGAGCUGGUCAGGACCCCCAGCACAGAGCAGUCACCUCGUGGAAAAGUGGCCAGACUAUUCUCCAUGCAGGCUCAGUCCUCACUGCUUCUCAGUGGACAGGUCCACCCUACCUUGGACUCCAGCACAACCACCCUGCCCUCACCUGACAACUUCAAUCAGAAGCAGCACAGCAUUUCUUUGAGGAGGAAAUGCCAGAAUCAACCCACCACCCCUCCACCACUGCAGCUGCAGUCAAUCCGCAACCCUCAUUUUAAAAGUCCUUGGGCUGGGGAAAGAACAAAGGACCUGGUCACUACACUGGUACCUUCAGCACAGGGCAGCCACCACACAGAAAGGAGUCCAGCCCCUCUUCCCUGGCAACCCCGGAACAGAGUAGUCAGCUGAAAAAAAAAAAAAGUAAGACUCAAUGGUGUGCUAUCUUCAAGAGGAGAGACCCAUCUCAUACAUAAUGACAUCAACAUGGUGAAAAUAAAGGGAGGGAGGAAAACCUACCAAGCAAAUGGAAAUCAGAAAAAAACAUGGGUUGGUAUCCUAAUUUCAGAUAAAAUAGACUUUAAACCAACAAAGAUUAAAAAAAAAGACAAAGAAUGUCUUUACAUAAUGGUAAAAGGCUCAAUUCAACAAGAAGACCUAACUAUCCUAAAUAUAUAUGCACCCAAUACAAGAGCACUCAGAUUCCUAAAGCAAAUUCUUGGAGACCUUCAAAUAUACUUAGACUCCCACACUACUAUAACAAUAAUAGGAGGAGACUUCAACA
rnacentral:lncRNA from 1 species